rnacentral:rRNA from 1 species
GACGGAGGGUGCAAGCGUUGUUCGGAAUUACUGGGCGUAAAGCGUGCGCAGGCGGCUUUGCAAGACAGAUGUGAAAUCCCCGGGCUUAACCUGGGAACUGCAUUUGUGACUGCAUGGCUGGAGUGCGGCAGAGGGGGAUGGAAUUCCGCGUGUAGCAGUGAAAUGCGUAGAUAUGCGGAGGAACACCGAUGGCGAAGGCAAUCCCCUGGGCCUGCACUGACGCUCAUGCACGAAAGCGUGGGGAGCAAACAGG